rnacentral:rRNA from 1 species
GUUGCCCAGAAUAGAAUUUUAGUUCAACUUUAAACUUGCCUACAAAACUUAAAAAUUCUAAUGCAAGUUUAAAAUAUAUUCUAAAAAGGUACAGCUUUUUAGAAUCAAGGAUACAACCUUACUUAGAGAGUAAAUACUGAUUAAAUCAUAGUAGGCCUAGAAGCAGCCAUCAAUUAAGAAAGCGUUUAAGCUCAACACCCAUACCAACCUGAUACCAAAAAUAUCCAAUUAACUCCUAAUAUAAUAACUGGGCUAAUCUAUUUAAAUAUAGAAGCAACAAUGCUAAUAUGAGUAACGAGAAGUACUUCUCCAACGCAUAAGCUUAUAACAGCAACGGAUAACCACUGAUAGUUAACAACAACGUAGAAAUAAUCCAACAAUAAAACACCUACCAAACCAAUUGUUAAUCCAACACAGGCAUGCGACUAAGGAAAGAUUAAAAGAAGUAAAAGGAACUCGGCAAACACAAACCCCGCCUGUUUACCAAAAACAUCACCUCCAGCAUUCCCAGUAUUGGAGGCACUGCCUGCCCGGUGACAUCAGUUAAACGGCCGCGGUAUUCUG